rnacentral:rRNA from 1 species
ACGCUGGCGGCACGCUUAAUACAUGCAAGUCGAACGAGAAACUUGGUUCGCCAAGUGGACAGUGGCAGACGGUUGAGUAACGCGUGGGAAUCUACCUAGAGGUUCGGAAUAACUAUUGGAAACGAUAGCUAAUACCGGAUAAGCCCUUCGGGGGAAAGAUUUAUUGCCUUUAGAUGAGCCCGCGUCGGAUUAGCUAGUUGGUAAGGUAACGGCUUACCAAAGCUACGAUCCGUAGCUGAUCUGAGAGGAUGAUCAGCCAGAUUGGGACUGAGACA